CCCCACGUCACACGGAUUCGU
rnacentral:rRNA from 2 species